CUCUCUCUCUCUCUCUCUCUCUCUCUCUCUCUCUCUCUCUCUGUCUCUUUCUCUCUCUGUCUCUCUCUCUCUCUGUCUCUCUGUCUCUCUCUCUCUCUGUCUUUCUCUCUCUCGCUCUCUCGCUCUCUCUCUGUCUCGCUCUCUCGCUCUCUCUCUGUCUUGCUCUCUCUCUCUCUGUCUUGCGCUCUCUCUCUCUCUCGCUCUCUGUCUUGCUCUCUCGGUCUGCCUCCCUGUUUCUCUCUCUUUCUGUGUCUCUCAGUAUAUAAGAGAUAUGUAUAUAAAUUAAGGACGAUAUUGAAGCACUAUAGCAGAAAAAUGGAAGGGAUAAAAAUGAGUAAAAUUAGGGAAUAAAAGUGAAUUUCCUAAUACAGGUCAUAAAACUAAUAAUAAAGAAGCGCGAUCAUAAUCGCAAGAGACACGAGUGCGAGGCAGAUCACUCACUGUCCGUAUUUCUCUCUCUCUCUCUCUUUUGUGUCUCUUUGUUUUGUGUACAUCACCUCUCUCCUGUGUCUGUCUGUUUCGCUCUGUCUCUCCAUCUCUCUCACACACACAAACACACACACACACACACACACACAGAGAACCAAAAUGAAGAAUAUAAAGUAAAGCCCCCAUACAGAAAUCAGGGAUAGUGCAGACUCAGUCUGUUAUGUGGGUUCAGGAUCGUAGUGUUUAUACAUUUUUUUAAAAAAAGGUACCGAUGGGUCAAUCUUUCAGUGCUGUACAGUCACACCUCGAUCAGUUACCGCACAGGUUCCCCGCCCUCCUAACACACCUGAUUCACCUAAUCCACUAAUUACCAGCCCUGAGCCCUGAGUGGAUUCGGGUGUGUUAGGAGCAGGCGGGUCACCAGCACCGGUUUGAGAUCGUGUGUGUUUCUGAAAUACUCCUGAAAUAAUCAGCGACAAGACGGUGGCUGGGUUUAAGAGCAUUGCCCUCGUGUGCAAAAACAACACGCGUUCAUAAAACACGGCGUAAAACGACCCAGUGCACCGGAUCAGAAGAUACGUCAGCUCUAAAUUCCAUACGGAUCCGGCAUUUUCAACUUUUAAAGCAUUUCUUUCUCUUUUUUUUUUUGCAUAACUUUGUUUGACUUUUGACUUUAAUUUCUUGCUGAUGUGGGUCGAAUGCAGAGCGUAAACCAAGACACUGUUUCAAAAGAUUGAAAAUAUGACCAGAAAUAAAUAAAUAACUGUAGUGAUGAAACAGCGAUGCUUCGUUAUGAAAGGGGGGAAAACGGAUCCAGACCUCGAAUUUCCACCUCCUGUAUUUGCAAACAGCCAGGAAUUAUUUUUGUACUCUUUCUGUUAUAACUGAUUCAUAAAAUGAGAAUUUCAACAUUGCACGAUCACGUUGGUUUCUCGCAGAAUUCGUCUUCCGUGUGAGCUCGGCUGUCGUGAGGCCGACUUCAGAACACGAGGUUAUCUGGUUAUCCGGUGCGAGCUGGUCAUGUAUUAAAUGGUGAUUAACACCAGGCUGCUUUGUUUGAUUGAGCACUUGGUUUAUCAGGUUCAGCAUGUUAAUCUGUUCGGAGAGAUAAGGAGGUGUGACGUAUCUUGGUUUACCAGCACAGCAGAAAGAGAGAACAUGGUGAACUUCACGAGUCUCGUAUCUCCAUUCCUCUCCCUCUCAGCUGUUUGCACAAAGUCAGAGCUUUACACUGGACGGUUGAUGUUAAAUAUCUGAUAUUGGUCGGACUCCAUCAAAAGCACUUGAGAGGGGAAAAGGGUAUCUUCUUCGGUUAUCUUAAUCUUGCUUACUGCGGUGAUUAAGUUUUCUCGGGUAAUGUAACACUGGUUUUUUUUUUUUUUUUUUUUUU
ensembl:lncRNA